rnacentral:rRNA from 1 species
GCUUGCUGGGGGUGGAUGAGUGGCGAACGGGUGAGUAUCACGUGAGUAACCUGCCCUUAACUCUGGGAUAAGCCCGGGAAACUGGGUCUAAUACUGGAUAGGACUGAUCAUCGCAUGGUGGUUGGUUGAAAGUUUUUGACGGUUUUGGAUGGACUCGCGGCCUAUCAGUUUGUUGGUGGGGUAAUGGCCUACCAAGGCUUUGACGGGUAGCCGGCCUGAGAGGGUGACCGGCCACACUGGGACUGAGACACGGCCCAGACUCCUACGGGAGGCAGCAGUGGGGGAUCUUGCACAAUGGGCGGAAGCCUGAUGCAGCGACGCCGCGUGAGGGAUGACGGCCUUCGGGUUGUAAACCUCUUUCAGUUGGGACGAAGCCCUUCGGGGUGACGGUACCUUCAGAAGAAGCACCGGCUAACUACGUGCCAGCAGCCGCGGUAAUACGUAGGGUGCGAGCGUUAUCCGGAAUUAUUGGGCGUAAAGAGCUCGUAGGCGGUUUGUCACGUCUGCUGUGAAAGCUCGGGGCUUAACCUCGAGUUUGCAGUGGGUACGGGCAGGCUAGAGUGCAGUAGGGGAGACUGGAAUUCCUGGUGUAGCGGUGAAAUGCGCAGAUAUCAGGAGGAACACCGAUGGCGAAGGCAGGUCUCUGGGCUGUUACUGACGCUGAGGAGCGAAAGCAUGGGGAGCGAACAGGAUUAGAUACCCUGGUAGUCCAUGCCGUAAACGUUGGGCACUAGGUGUGGGGAACAUUUCCACGUUUUCCGCGCCGUAGCUAACGCAUUAAGUGCCCCGCCUGGGG